rnacentral:tRNA from 5 species
GAAAAUCCGUCGACUUUUAAAAUCGUGAGGGUUCAAGUCCCUCUAUCCCCAAAAAAAG